rnacentral:snRNA from 1 species
UUGCUUUGGCAGCAGCACAUGUACUAUAAUUGGAACGAUACAGAGAAGAUUAGCAUGGGCCCUGCAUAAGGAUGACAUGCAAAUUUGUGAAGUUCCAUAUUUAA